AUUGAACGCUGGCGGCAGGCCUAACACAUGCAAGUCGAACGAGUGGCGGACGGGUGAGUAAUGUCUGGGAAACUGCCUGAUGGAGGGGGAUAACUACUGGAAACGGUAGCUAAUACCGCAUACCAUCGGAUGUGCCCAGAUGGGAUUAGCUAGUAGGUGGGGUAAAGGCUCACCUAGGCCACGAUCCCUAGCUGGUCUGCGAGGGUGUCCAGCCACACGGGAACUGAGCCACGGUCCAGACUCCUACGGGAUGCAGCAGUGGGGAAUAUUGCACAAUGGGCGCGAGCCUGAUGCAGCCGUGCCGAGUGUAUGAAGAAGGCCUUCGGGUUUUAAAGUACUUUCAGCGGGGAGGCGUUACCCGCAGAAGAAGCACCGGCGAACUCCGUGCCAGCAGCCGCGGUAAUUC
rnacentral:rRNA from 1 species